UACGUAGGGGGCUAGCGUUGUUCGGAAUUACUGGGCGUAAAGCGCACGUAGGCGGCUUUGUAAGUCAGAGGUGAAAGCCCGGGGCUCAACUUCGGAAUUGCCUUUAAGACUGCAUCGCUAGAAUUGUGGAGAGGUAAGUGGAAUUCCGAGUGUAGAGGUGAAAUUCGUAGAUAUUCGGAAGAACACCAGUGGCGAAGGCGACUUACUGGACACAUAUUGACGCUGAGGUGCGAAAGCGUGGGGAGCAAACAGG
rnacentral:rRNA from 1 species